UAAAUCAAUUUAUUAAAAUCUUUUUCAGAUAUUUUUUUGGGUGGAAAAAAUAUUUUUUUACUAUUAACAAUAUUCGUUAGUAUUAACAAAAUCUAUUUUUUAUGAGAACAAAAUUUUUGUAACUAUUAAGAAGCUUUAAUAUAUUGAAAAAAAUAUUUAUUUCCACCAAAUAAGAUUUGUUAAUAGUUAAAAAAUAUUUUGUUGGUGGUCGGUGUUGAUAGAUGGCUAUACUUAAAAACAAUUAAUAAAAUGGAAGCUUUGCUACAAUCGUGGGAUUUAAGUGAGUUAUACUCGAUUUUUUGUGUAAACCAUAUAACUGACUUUGAAAUCCUUGGUGAAUUCCUUACUAAAACUCGAGAAGAGACCCAAAAAGAAGUAAUCCCUAGUGUUUGUUUACGACUUCGUUUAAAUAAAAAAUAUAAUGAAUAUAUUUCCCAUCACGAGAAGAUUAAUGUAAAACUUUUCUAAAAAUAAUAAGAGGAAUUUUUUAAAUAUUAAUAAAUCAUUUUU